rnacentral:rRNA from 1 species
UACGUAGGGUGCGAGCGUUAAUCGGAAUUACUGGGCGUAAAGCGUGCGUAGGCGGUUCGUUAAGUCUGUUGUGAAAGCCCCGGGCUCAACCUGGGAAUGGCAAUGGAUACUGGCGAGCUAGAGUGUGUCAGAGGAUGGUGGAAUUCCCGGUGUAGCGGUGAAAUGCGUAGAGAUGUGGAGGAACACCGAUGGCGAAGGCAGCCCCCUGGGUUAACACUGACGCUCAGGCACGAAAGCGUGGGGAGCAAACAGG